rnacentral:lncRNA from 1 species
AUGCUGAUUUGGUUGGUCCACUAUCGCCCUCUUUGGGUGGAAAUAGGUACUUCAUGGUUCUCAUUGACGCAUUUUCUAGAUAUAUUUUUGUGUACAAUCUCAAGCAGAAAUCAGGCUUUUCCUAGGUUCAAGGAAUUCUGUGCUUGGUUGGAAAAUGUGCAUGAUAAGAAGAUAAAGACUCUUUUCACUGAUCGCGGGGGAGAAUUCACUUCUCAGCAGUUUGAAGCUUUUCUGACUGAGAAAGGAAUUCAACAUGAUUUGUCUAGUCCUCGCUCGCCAUGGCAGAAUGGACUUGCGGAACGGGCAAAUCAGACAUUGCUUCAAGGGUUAAAAACCUUGCUGCAUGAUGCCAAUCUUCCAGAGAGUUAUUGGGCCGAAGCUCUCUCAUGUUUUCUUUACAGUUACAAUCGCAGGUUAUCUUCAGCGAUUGGUUGUACCCCCUAUGAGAAGAUGUUUGGCAAGAAGCCUUACAUCAAACACAUGAAAAUUUUUGGUUCUGACAUGUGGAUUCACACACCACAAAACUCCAAGUUAGACAAGCGUGGUUUGCAUGGUAUCUUUCUAGGUUAUCAGAAAGGUUCUUACAGAAUAAUGAUGACUGACUCUAAGACAAUUAAGCUCACGAGAAGUGUUGAGUACAAUGCAAAGUGGGGGGAGAAUGUGGGAAUUUUCCAAUGUUAUCCUGAUGAUGGUGAUGAGACUGAGGAUAGUCAAAAGCAACCAGAACAACCCACACCCACUGAUGAAGGUUCUGAGUCUGAAACUGAAUCAGGUGAUUCAGAGGAUUUCAAGAGUGCGAAAGCCUCUAUGCGACCCUCUGAAAGCUCUGAUCGAGAAGAAUUGGAGGAACCAUUGUUCACAAUAGGUCGUUUUUCUCCUAAGAAGGAAGAGGAGAGUGUUGAAGACUUAAGGCUAAUUUGUAGGUCACAGAGAGCCACAAAAGGCAAACCUCCAAAGAGAUUUGCUGAUGAGUUUGCUUCGAUAGCAGUAACAGCUGUUAAAAGCUCCAAGAAGGUAUUUGAACCUUCAAGUUUCCAAGAAAUCCAGGGUUUGGAUUCAAAGGAAGCUGAGCCAUGGUUAAAUGCCAUGAAGGCUGAGCUUGUUUCCUUGGAAAGGAACAAAACAUGGGAGCUAGUUCCAGUAGUUCCAGGAAUGAAACUGCUUGGAAGCAAAUGGGUCUUCAAAGCGAAGACAGAUCAAAAUGGCAAGAUAGUCAGACACAAAGCCAGAUUGGUAGCCAGAGGUUUUGCACAGGUACCAGGUGAAGACUAUCACGAGACCUACUCACCCACAGUGAAGGAAAGCAGAAACCAACAUUCAGCGGGUGUAUGCUGA